GACGAACGCUGGCGGCGUGCCUAAUACAUGCAAGUCGAACGGAAAGGCCCUGCCUUUGUGGGGUGCUCGAGUGGCGAACGGGUGAGUAACACGUGAGUAACCUGCCCUUGACCUUGGGAUAACUUUAGGAAACUGGGGCUAAUACCGCAUAGGAGCUCCUGCUGCAUGGCGGGGGUUGGAAAGUUUCGGCGGCUGGGGAUGGACUUGCGGCUUAUCAGUUUGUUGGUGGGGUAGUGGCGUACCAAGGCUAUGACGGGUAGCCGGCCUGAGAGGGUGACCGGCCACAGUGGGACUGGGAUACGACCCAGACUGCUACGGGAGGCAGCAGUGGAAGAUAUUGCACGAUGGGCGGAAGCCUGAUGCAGCGACGCCGCGUGCGAGAUGACGGCCUUCGGGUUAGAAACCGCUUUCGCCUGUAACGAAGCGUGAGUGACGGUAAUGUAUAAAGAAGCACCGGCUAACUACGUG
rnacentral:rRNA from 1 species